GGCCGUGUGCCCGAGUGGCUCAGGGGCACGCCUGCAAAGCGUGUUACGCGGGUUCGAUCCCCGCCACGGCCUCCA
rnacentral:tRNA from 2 species